UGGCUCAGGUGAUAGAGCAUGGUGUUUGCAAUGCCAGGGUUGUGGGUUUGAUUCCCAC
rfam:Salmo salar isolate Sally breed double haploid chromosome ssa20, whole genome shotgun sequence.